AGCAGCCGCGGUAAUUCCAGCUCCAAUAGCGUAUAUUAAAGUUGUUGCAGUUAAAAAGCUCGUAGUUGAAUUUCGGGGUCAGUAGAUUGGUCGUGCCACUGGUAUGUACUGGUCUUACUGGCUCCUCCUUCCUGAUGAACCGUAAUGCCAUUAAUUUGGUGUUGCGGGGAGACUGGACUGUUACUUUGAAAAAAUUAGAGUGUUUAAAGCAGGCUAACGCUUGAAUACAUUAGCAUGGAAUAAUGAAAUAGGACGUUCGAUCUUAUUUUGUUGGUUUCUAGGAUUGACGUAAUGAUUAAUAGGGAUAGUUGGGGGCAUUAGUAUUCAAUUGUCAGAGGUGAAAUUCUUGGAUUUAUUGAAGACUAACUACUGCGAAAGCAUUUGCCAAGGAUGUUUUCAUUAAUCAAGAACGAAAGUUAGGGGAUCGAAGACGAUCAGAUACCGUCGUAGUCUUAACCAUAAACUAUGCCGA
rnacentral:sRNA from 1 species